UUCUAGAGCUAAUACAUGCAACCAAGUCCCGACCAGUGAUGGAAAGGACGCUUUUAUUAGAUCAAAAUCAAUCGGUUCGGGUUCGUCCCGUUUCGUUUGACUUUGGUGACUCUGAAUAACACUGUAGAUCGCACGGUCUUUGUACCGGCGACCCAUCUUUCAAAUGCCUGACUUAUCAACUGUCGAUGGUAGACUCUACGUCUACCAUGGUUGUAACGGGUGACGGGGAAUCAGGGUUCGAUUCCGGAGAGGGAGCCUGAGAAACGGCUACCACAUCCAAGGAAGGCAGCAGGCACGCAAAUUACCCACUCCCGGCACGGGGAGGUAGUGACAAAAAAUAACGAUACGGGACUCAUCCGAGGCCCCGUAAUCGGAAUGAGAACACUCUAAAUCAUUUAACAAGGACCUAUUGGAGGGCAAGUCUGGUGCCAGCAGCCGCGGUAAUUCCAGCUCCAAUAGCGUAUAUUAAAGUUGUUGCGGUUAAAAAGCUCGUAGUUGGUUCUGCGUCCCACGCUGUCGGUUCACCGCCUGUCGGUGCAACUGGCACGCCGUGGGAUGUCCUGUCGGUGGUGGCCGUGUCUCGCGGUUCUCGGUGUAGGCACCUUCAACGGCGCCGAAACCGUCCGUCGAGAACCGGUCGCCGAAUCAAUCCUGCCGCGGUGCUCUUCGCUGAGUGUCGAGGUAGGCCGACACGUUUACUUUGAACAAAUUAGAGUGCUCAAAGCAGGCUGAAUUCCGCCUGAAUAGUGGUGCAUGGAAUAAUUGAAGAGGACCUCGGUUCUAUUUU
rnacentral:rRNA from 1 species